rnacentral:hammerhead_ribozyme from 1 species
AUCGAGCUGACGAGUCCCAAAUAGGACGAAAUGCGCAUCAUGGGU